AUUCUACCCAUGCGGGGAAGGAUGAGAAGCUUCGACUAAGGUUCGAUUCGAGCGAAAGCGAGAAAGCGUUGCCGCAGGCAACGACCCGAAGGGCGAAACGCGCAGCGCUGAGUCAUCCUUCCCCCACCACCA
rnacentral:sRNA from 3 species